AGAAUCAACGCUGGCGGCGUGCCUCAGACAUGCAAGUCGAACGCGAAAGUCCCCUUCGGGGGACAAGUAGAGUGGCGCACGGGUGAGUAACACGUAGGUAAUCUACCUUCGGGUGGGGAAUAACAACCGGAAACGGCUGCUAAUACCGCAUAAUGCAGCGGCACCUAAUGGUGACAGUUGUUAAAGCGGGGGAUCGAAAGACCUCGCGUCUGAAGAGGAGCCUGCGGCGGAUUAGCUAGUUGGUAGGGUAACGGCCUACCAAGGCGACGAUCCGUA
rnacentral:rRNA from 1 species